rnacentral:tRNA from 1 species
GGUAGCGUGGCCGAGUGGUCUCUGGCGCUGGUUUUAGGCACCAGUCAUUUCGAUGACGUGAGUGCGAAUCCCACCGCUGCCA